rnacentral:rRNA from 1 species
CUACGGGUUGCAGCAGUGAGGAAUAUUGCACAAUGGGGGGAACCCUGAUGCAGCAACGCCGCGUGGAGGAUGACGCAUUUCGGUGUGUAAACUCCUUUUAUAUGUCAAGAAAAUGACGGUAGCAUAUGAAUAAGCACCGGCUAACUCCGUGCCAGCAGCCGCGGUAAUACGGAGGGUGCAAGCGUUACUCGGAAUCACUGGGCGUAAAGGACGCGUAGGCGGGUUGGAAAGUCAGGUGUGAAAUCCUACAGCUUAACUGUAGAACUGCACUUGAAACUUCUAAUCUAGAGGAUGGGAGGGGGGGAUGGAAUUAGUGGUGUAGGGGUAAAAUCCGUAGAUAUCACUAGGAAUACCUAAAGCGAAGGCGAUCUCCUGGAACAUUACUGACGCUAAGGCGUGAAAGCGUGGGGAGCAAACAGGAUUAGAUACCCCAGUAGUC